rnacentral:rRNA from 1 species
CCUACGGGGGGCUGCAGUGGGGAAUAUUGGACAAUGGGCGAAAGCCUGAUCCAGCCAUGCCGCGUGUGUGAAGAAGGCCUUCGGGUUGUAAAGCACUUUCAGUGGGGAAGAAAGCCUUGGGGCUAAUACCCUCGAGGAAGGACAUCACCCACAGAAGAAGCACCGGCUAACUCCGUGCCAGCAGCCGCGGUAAUACGGAGGGUGCGAGCGUUAAUCGGAAUUACUGGGCGUAGAGCGCGCGUAGGCGGUCUGAUAAGCCGGUUGUGAAAGCCCCGAGCUCAACCUGGGAACGGCAUCCGGAACUGUCAGGCUAGAGUGCAGGAGAGGAAGGUAGAAUUCCCGGUGUAGCGGUGAAAUGCGUAGAGAUCGGGAGGAAUACCAGUGGCGAAGGCGGCCUUCUGGACUGACACUGACGCUGAGGUGCGAAAGCGUGGGUAGCAAACAGGAUUAGAUACCCUUGUAGUC